AUUAAGCCAAAGCAAAAUAAAGACACUGAACUGUUUGUCUGCUUGGAAUCGUUUGCAAGUUUAAAUGCCAAAAUUAUCAGAAAACCAUUAAGAAAAAAGAGUGCACUUUUUGAAGAAGAAAGCAAGUUGGAGAGAUGUCGUUUAGAGGGAAGAGAAAGGGCGGAACGGAUCAUGCUUCUGACGAGACUGAUGGCCACGCGCCUCCCAACAAAGCUUCUAAGAUUUCAGCCGCCGAUGACUCUGAUGAUUCCGACGACAUCGUUGUCUGCGAGAUAUCCAAGAAUAGAAGAGUUUCAGUAAGGAACUGGAAUGGCAGAAUUUGGGUUGAUAUUCGUGAAUUCUAUGUCAGGGAUGGCAAGCAAUUGCCUGGCAAAAAAGGUAUUGCACUAAGUCUGGAUCAGUGGAAUAUUCUUCGGGAUCAUGCAGAGGAAAUUGACAAGGCACUUGCUGAGAACUCUUAGGAAGUAGACAGUGUACCCUGUACAGAAGAUGAUGGGAGUCUAAGUGGUUAUAGAUGUAGAUGAAGAUGGAGGUGAAUGGCUGUGACAUGAUGUUUUGUACCAGCACUAGAUAUCGGACGAGAAUGUUGAUUACCAGCAGGCAAUGGAGAAGGUUCGGAAACGAAGAUGAGACUGGUUUACAUGCACUAAGGGACCGUCCACUUUCAAGAUCAGUGUUCCAGGGAUAAUGAGACUAGGUUGGAUCAAAAGCUAUCAAGAGGUGAGCUUUGGGGAGGGAGUAAGUAAUACAAACUCCUGCAUGAGUACCAGAGCAGUUAUGUUAACCACAACUCAACUGCAUGGGAGUCCACCACCAUUGCAAUUUCUCAAUAAGUAAAAUUCAAGGCAAAGCUAAUGAGGUAGCCCAUCAGGUGUGGAUGGUUUAGCUUAUCAAUUUCUGCUAGUAAUUAAAUCAAAGAGAAAAUUAGUUUUUUUGUUGAAAGUUUUAUAAAUUUUUACUCAGCUACAGUAGUUUUCAACUGUAAAAGUGGAUAAAAUUUUUAACAAAGAAAUCAAUUUAUUUUUGAUUUAACGUAUAAAAA